UUGCCGGAGAGUUUGAUCCUGGCUCAGGACGAACGCUGGCGGCGUGCCUAAUACAUGCAAGUCGAGCGGGGGCGACUUCGGGGCUUGCCCUGGAGGCGCCCCAGCGGCGAACGGGUGAGUAACACGUAGGCAACCUGCCCCAAAGACCGGGAUAACACCGGGAAACCGGUGCUAAUACCGGAUAGAUUGUCUUGCCGCAUGGCGGGGCAAGGAAAGCUACAAGCGCUUUGGGAGGGGCCUGCGGCGCAUUAGCUGGUUGGUGAGGUAACGGCUCACCAAGGCGAUGAUGCGUAGCCGACCUGAGAGGGUGACCGGCCACACUGGGACUGAGACACGGCCCAGACUCCUACGGGAGGCAGCAGUAGGGAAUCUUCCGCAAUGGGCGGAAGCCUGACGGAGCGACGCCGCGUGGGGGAGGAAGGCCUUCGGGUCGUAAACCCCUGUUGUCGGGGAAGAGGGCUUGCCGUAGGGCGAGUUGGACGGUACCCGACGAGGAAGCCCCGGCUAACUACGUGCCAGCAGCCGCGGUAAGACGUAGGGGGCGAGCGUUGUCCGGAAUGACUGGGCGUAAAGGGCGCGUAGGCGGC
rnacentral:rRNA from 1 species